CCCCGGGAAAGAAGAAAUUGGUUAUUAUAUUGCUUAUUUAUUUUUUAUUUUUAUUUUUGACAGCCUUUUGCAUUGGUGCUGCUUCAUUGGGCUAUAUACACAGAAACCCCCCGCCCCCCUCCCUUUUUUUUUAAACAAAAAAACUUUUGAUGUAAACCAUUACAGACCAAAAGGGGUAAUUUUCAGCGCCGUCUAAUGACUGGCUUCAGUUCGUAGGCAUCGACAAGGGAAAAGAUGCUGACUUGGCGCAAGGGCUUUGGAGAUUCAACUAUAUAUAUUAUGAAAGGAACGGUUUGAAUGAAUACGCUGCCAGGGAUAGGUAUUUUGCCAAGUGAAGAUUAAACGGCUUCUCCCGACAACAUAGAAAUUCUUAUCAUGGACCAGUGCUAGGGACUCCUAAUCCACAUCCUACUGCUCGCUAGAUGAGGGAUAGCCAGAUAAUGCAACUCAUUCGGGAUAUGUACCGUGUGUUCCAGCUGCAAAUUAAAAGGAUUUUCCAUUUCCAAUUUGGAGAUGAUAACUUGGAGGCUUGAAAGAUAAGCUACUUCAAUCAAUAUGACAAUACCAUAAUUGAAAGUCAUCAUCUCUGGGGAAAAUAAAAUAUUAGAG
rnacentral:sRNA from 1 species